rnacentral:rRNA from 1 species
UAGGGAAUAUUGGGCAAUGGGCGAAAGCCUGACCCAGCAACGCCGCGUGAAGGAAGAAGGUCUUCGGAUUGUAAACUUCUGUUGCAAGGGAAAAAGAAAGUGAUGGUACCUUGCGAGGAAGCUACGGCAAACUAUGUGCCAGCAGCCGCGGUAAUACAUAGGUAGCGAGCGUUAUCCGGAAUAACUGGGCGUAAAGGGAGUGUAGGUGGCAGUAUAAGUUAGAUGUGAAAGACCAUGGCUCAACCAUGGAAAUGCAUUUAAUACUGUAUUGCUUGAGUAUGAUAGAGGUAAACGGAAUUUCUAGUGUAGCGGUUAAAUGCGUAGAGAUUAGGAAGAACACCAGAGGCGAAAGCGGUUUACUAGGUCAAUACUGACACUGAGGCUCGAAAGCGUGGGGAGCAAACAGG